UGUAAUUUAGUAAUCAUGAAAUAUCACAUACUCGAACCGACGUGACCGCGUAGCUCAGUUGGAAGAACAUUGGGCUAGUAUUCCAAAGGUCGUAGGUUCGAUUCCCACCGUUGCCCGGCAUAUUUGUCAAGCUUACCCGGUGUGCAUAUACACUCAAAGUAACAUCACAAGCAUCAUAUUCACCUGAGUACAUUACACCAACACAGAAAAAAUCUAGAAUCGUGUCCAAAUUCAACGAAACUGUGCAAGAUAACCCGAGCUAUGGGCAGUAAUAAACACCUAUUUUCUGAAAUCCUACCAUCGCAAGUCCCCCCCCCCGGUAAUUUUUUUUUUGGAUUUGUUACCACUAACAUAUGUGCCACUUGACUUUGAUAAC